AGCCCCACCCUCUGCCAUCGUUUUGUGGCUGAGGACUUGGUUGGUUGGACUAAACCCGCCACCAUACAAUUGUACCAUUAUAUUGAUGAUGUCAUGUUAACUUCUGAUUCUCUUUUAGAUCUGCGGCAAGCUGCCCCAAUGUUCGUAACUCCUGCAGUGGAAAGGAUGGGCCAUCAAGACUCAUGAACACCAAAAAGUUUAGUGGUUACCAUAAGGAAAGCAGGACAAGGAGUUGAUAGACAAGGGUAAAGGGGAUCAAAUAUAUGGCAAUGGAAGGAGAUUUGACUUUGAUGGUGAACACAAUGCAAUAUGCAUAUAAUAUUAUUGCAUUGUAUAAUCAGAAUAUGUAAUUAUUAACCCUUGUCACCCAAUAAAUUUAAAUAAAUUAGAAUAAAUACACUAACAUUUUAAUAAUUUUGAAUUUUUUUUCUCAACUUAGAGAAAUCUUGUAGGAAUCUUAUGAAGUUCAGUAGUUCAGUGUCACUUUAGUUACUAUUUAAGAUCAAGUAAAAUUAAUUUUCCAUUUCAUUUAAAGUACCACAUAAAAUAAUAUUGUAUUUGACUGCUGGGUGCAAGUUAUACAAAUCUGUUCAAUUUGUGAAAAUUGUUAAGCUGAUAUUUAUUUUUGAACAUCCUUAUGGCAAUGGAAAGAGAUUUAACUUUGAUGAAUAAAUGUUUUGAAAUUCAAAGAAAUGUUAACUCAUAAAUAUUUGAGAUUUUUCUAUAUAUCUUUUUGUUACUUGUUCCUAAUUUAAUUUCUUUAUAGUCUAACAAAGUAAAUAUUUUUAAACUUUGUUAAGACUUAAAUAAAUAGCCCAGAAUGUGGUAUAUUUUGGUGAAUGUUCUAUAUGCAUUUAAAAAGGAUGUAUAUAGUGAUGGCUUUAACUGUCAAUUAGGUCAAAUUGAUUGAGAUUGCUGCUCUAGUCAUCUAAAGUGUUACAGAUACCUUGCCUACUUGUUUGUCAGUUAUUGAGAGGGAAAUAUUGAAAUCUCCAGUUAGAACUACAAAUAUUUGUCUAUUUUUCCUUUAAUAUAUAAGGGUUUUCAACAAUUAGCUUCAUUGAAAUAUAAUUAAGAGACAAUAUAAUGUACUAAUUGAAAGUAUACAGUCUAUUGGUGUUUUUAAUAUAGUCAUAGUUUGUGGGACAAAAAACAAUUUCAGAAUAUUUCAUCACCUGAAAAACAAAAAUACCUUGUACCCUUUAGUUCUUUAGCUAUUACCUACAUUCACCUCUCUCUAUAUCCUACAGCACUGCCCAGCCCUAACCACUGCUUAUCUACUCUAUGCAUCCAGAGAUUUUCCUGUUCUGGACAUUUCAUCUGAAUAGAAUUACAUUCGUGAUAUUUUGUGAGUGCUCUCUUCACUUGGAAACACUGCGGCUCAUCUAUCCCUUCAACUCUUCAAGAAAAGGAAACAAAAAGAAGUUUGAAUACUUCUGAAAAUAAAGCAACUAUAAACAAAUCUGUAAGAGUUACUGCACAAAAGGAAGAAAACUCAGGCCCAUUAGAUGAAUCUGACAUCACUGAUCUAGGAAGAAGAGAUAAACCAGCCGAGAAAAUGACACAAUAUUUUACACAAAAAGUUUACACAAAUUAGAUAUAGCAUCUUCAGAAAUUUCAGAGAAAUCAGCUGACUCAAUAACUUCUAAAAAUAUAAGCCCUUUAGGGCCAAGCCCUCUCUUGAGAAAAAGAAAAAAUAAGGAAAAAAAAAAAAAUAAAAGACUCAUA